GACCUACUUCCCUACCUUAGGCUGAGGACAUUCAGGAUGUUUCAACUCCCACUGGUUGCUGGGAAAUGUCUCCUUUCUCUAUCCCUUCUCCUGUCAGGUGUUUGAGUGAACCCUAUGUACCAGGGCCACAUAAUCAGUUCUGGUCAGUGAAACACCAAUGGCAUAGAAAGUGACUUGAGUCACUUCUGAGCUGGACUGUCUGAUGCUCACUUCCCAUCAUGGGUACCACGGGUGCUGCUUGAGACAAUGACUCUUCAUUACCCUGAAUCCUCAGAGCUUAUUUGGAGAAGUCUUCUGAUAAUUGGAAAUAGGCAAAUAGCACAAUCGAGUCAUCCAUGGGGAUGUAGUUGUUUCUGCAGCAUAACGUUACUUAUCCUGACUAACAGAGAAAUACAACCAUUGGAUCGAAGGAUGCCCUGUACCUAAGCUUUCUCAUGUGUGCCUGAAUCUGGAAGUUGGUUUAAUGUUUCCCUGCCACAUCCCACAAUCCUUUCAUCUGGAUCUCACUGAAAAUCAAGCAGAGACCUGUAACCAAGACAACAGCUUCACGUCUCAUUCUAAAAAUGAGCAUUUGCGGAUUUGUCCAGAAUUUGAUAAGGAUGCAGAAGUGCAGAAUUCAAGUCGUUUCAAAGUGAUACCCUGUCAAGUCUUUGGGACCAAGUGUUCAGCGCUUCAUCUUUCUCUCAGGAAGAGGUCUAAGGUCAUAGGAGUGAGCUGAGCAAUUCAGCCAAGCUUAAACAGCUGGCCAGUAAAUGGCAGUGAAAACAAGAUGAGAACCCAGGACCCUUUAUCACAAGUAAACUCUUCUGUGCUCCGAGGACUACAUAUGGCUGUCAAAAGACACCCGCUGGACUGCAGGUCAGCUCUGCUCAGAGUAAAAAUAGUAGAAGCUACACAUGUGUCAUUUUCCAGACAAGAGAUAGAGAAGGGAUAUUAAAUUUAGUAACAUUUUGACUUAAGCCAA
rnacentral:lncRNA from 1 species